ACUGCCUAAAUUUUGAAGAAAGAAAAAUGCGGCUUAAAAUCCCAAAAUGAGGUUUUAGUUUUUCUCUAAUCUAUUUACCAACUAAAGUCAUUCGCACCGGUUCGCUAUUAAAACCCCCAUCACAGAAGGGGAGAAAAAGGAAGAAGAACAUUUAAUACAAAAGUUUCUGUAUGUAGAACAAAAAAAAGAAAAAAAAGAAAAAAUGGCGAAACAGGAACAAAUUUCUUCUCGACCAUGGAUACUCGAAGCCGUACCCCUUUUGGUUGUCAUUCUCAUAGCAGCCCAUGUCCUCGCUUUGGUUUAUUGGAUUUAUAGGCUGGCAACAGAGAAACUGCCGCAGAGGACAAAAAAACAUUAGGGAUACGAAAAAUACAAAAUGAGUUACUUCAUAAAAGUUCAUCAACUAGAGGGGUUCUUUCAAUUGCUAAUGAGUUCAUCAGAUGUGGUAGUCUAUAGCAGCUGUUAGUUUCUUUUUCAAGUGUUUACCUAGGUUUGCCAUUCUAAUUUGUUGGAAAUUCCAUUCCUGCUGGAUGAAUCAGUGAGCACACUUUGUCGAGUAUCUGGUAUGUGUUGAUAGCUAGUGUUUGUCCUGUCAUCCCCUGAUAAAUGUAAUGCGUGUAAAAUCACUGCUAAUAUUGGGGUUACACUUGUAACAAAGUUUAAAGUUCGAUGUACAAUUGAAGUUACAACUUGGAUAUCUUUUAGCUGCCAUGUUUUGAUAGCCUUCAAUCUAGUUUGCAUUUGAAUUGCAAUAAUUUGUUAUUGAUUCUUGCCCACGACUCCUGUUUAUAGAUGGCAAGAGGUUGUUUACAUAAUCUUUGUAAAGUUGCAUCAGAAAAUUGGCUGUAUAAUGACAUUUUUAUAAUUUGUCGGCCUGAUUGAAGUUAAUAAAGUUAUUGUUACUUGA